CCUCGGGGGGGAGAUAGAAUGUUAGUUGUGCGCCUCCAGCUAUGAUGGAGACGCGGCAUACGGCUCAGUAACACGUGGCUAACCCACCCUUGAGACGAAGAAAACCCCGGGAAACUGGGGGUAAUCCUCGAUAGAAGAAGACACCUGGAAGGGGUCUCCUUCCAAAAGGCGUCUAGAUCAUGCUUCUGGACGUUGCUCAAGGACGGGGCCGCGGCCGAUCAGGUUGUUGGUGAGGCAAAGGCUCACCAAGCCUUUAACCGGUACGGGCCGUGAGAGCGGGAGCCCGGAGAUGGGCACUGAGACAAGGGCCCAGGCCCUACGGGGCGCAGCAGUUACGAAAACUCCGCAAUGCACGAAAGUGUGACGGGGCUACCCCGAGUGCCGUCCGCUGAGGGCGGCUUUUCCCUGGUGUAAGGAGCCGGGGGAAUAAGGAGAGGGCAAGUCUGGUGUCAGCCGCCGCGGUAAUACCAGCUCUCCGAGUGGUAGGGAUGUUUAUUGGGCUUGAAGCGUCCGUAGCUGGCCUGACAAGUCUUCCGUUAAAUCUACCGAUUCAAUCGCUAGACCGCGGGGGAUACUGUUGGGCUAGGAGGCGGAAGAGGCCGACGGUAUUCUCGGGGUAGGGGUAAAAUCCUAUAAUCCCGGGAAGACCACCAGUGGCGAAGGCGGUCGGCUAGAACGCGCUCAAACGGUGAGGGACGAAAGCUUGGAACCAGCCGGCUAAGCAAACCCGGUUGCGCUCUCGACUAGAUCCACCUGCUGGGCUGGCCGCAGGCAUGCAACUUUGCCGCUCGGCGUCGGCUUACGCCUGCUUGACUGUAAUGGAAGUGGGCGUGGGGAAGAACACUCGGGUGAAGCAUGUCUUGAAUUGAUGUCUUGCCUGGGAACUUAUAAUGGACCACUGGU
rnacentral:rRNA from 1 species